rnacentral:rRNA from 2 species
GACGAACCACACGAACGUUAUUCGGAAUUACUGGGCUUAAAGGGUGCGUAGGCGGCGUAGCAAGUUGGGUGUGAAAUCCCUCGGCUCAACCGAGGAACUGCGCCCAAAACUGCUAUGCUUGAGGAAGAUAGAGGUAAGCGGAACUUACGGUGGAGCGGUGAAAUGCGUUGAUAUCGUAAGGAACACCUGUGGCGAAAGCGGCUUACUGGGUCUUUUCUGACGCUGAUGCACGAAAGCCAGGGGAGCAAACGGG